AUUGAACGCUGGCGGCAUGCCUUACACAUGCAAGUCGAACGGCAGCACGGGAGCAAUCCUGGUGGCGAGUGGCGAACGGGUGAGUAAUAUAUCGGAACGUGCCCGGUCGUGGGGGAUAACGUAGCGAAAGCUACGCUAAUACCGCAUACGAUCUACGGAUGAAAGCGGGGGAUCGCAAGACCUCGCGCGAUUGGAGCGGCCGAUAUCAGAUUAGCUAGUUGGUAAGGUAAAGGCUCACCAAGCCGACGAUCUGUAGCUGGUCUGAGAGGACGACCAGCCACACUGGGACUGAGACACGGCCCAGACUCCUACGGGAGGCAGCAGUGGGGAAUUUUGGACAAUGGACGCAAGUCUGAUCCAGCCAUUCCGCGUGCAGGAUGAAGGCCCUCGGUUGUAAACUGCUUUGUACGGAACGAAAGGUUUCUAUUAAUACUAGGAGCUCAUGACGGUACCGUAAGAAUAAGCACCGGCUAACUACGUG
rnacentral:rRNA from 1 species